CUUGCCUUCAUAUUAGUUUCAAGUUACAGCUGUUGUUUUUCUGAUGAUGGAUCCAGCUGUGAUUAUCAUCUUACUUCUCUACAAGAUGUAUUCUGCUCAAGCUGUGGGAAAUUCUGAACAAUUGGUCAUCUCAGCUGAGCCCGGUAAAACGGUCACUCUCAAAUGCACGCCUGUAGAUGAUUCAAAUGCAACUGUUAGGAGGUGGUACAAACAAAGGCUGUGGUAUGCUCCAGUGGAAGUGGGAUCACAGUUUAAAGAUAAGAAAUCAAAGAUUUCAGCUUCUUUUGACCAAUCAAGAUUUCAAAUGAACAGAACUGCGAGUGGCAUAUCUCUCAGUAUUGAACGUGUCACUAAAGAAGAUGAAGGAGUGUACUUCUGUGCAGCGGCUGGAGAGAAAACAAUGAGCUUUUCUAAUGCUACAGUCUUAACUGUCACAGGGCAGUCAAUCAUAUCAGUGCUCCAAACUCCAGUACGGGGGUCAGUUUCUCCCGGAGAGUCGGUCACUGGGAAUGGAACAGCAGUAGAACUGAGUAAAUUUUGCAUUAAGCUCCUGUAG